AAUGACGAGCCUGACUAAAGGAUUAUCGUGAUAGGAUAAAACAUGUAGAGCAAAACCUCUACCAUCAUUA
rnacentral:tRNA from 1 species